rnacentral:rRNA from 1 species
GAGCGAUAACAAUUUCACACAGGAAACAGCUAUGACCCAUGAUUACGAAUUCGAGCUCGGUACCCGGGGAUCCUCUAGAGAUUUUCCGGUUGAUCCUGCCGGAGGUCAUUGCUAUCCGGGUUCGACUAAGCCAUGCGAGUCGAGAGGGAUUAAGCCCUCGGCGAACUGCUCCGUAAUGUGCAGUCAACCUAACCUUAUCAGGGGGAUAAAUUCGGGAAACUGAACUCAAUACCCCAUAGGUAUAAAUUUCUGGAAUGAAUUUAUGCUCAAAGCUACGGCGGAUAAGGAUGGGACUACAUCCUAUCAGGCUGUUGUUAGCGUAGCGAUCUGACAAACCGAUAACAGGUAUGGGCUAUGGAAGUAGGAGCCCAGAGAUGGAUUCUGAGACAUGAAUCCAGGUCUUACGAGACGCAGCAGGCGCGAAAACUUUGCAAUUUGCUAACGCAAGACAAGGGAACCUGGAGUGUUCUUGCUUUGCAAGAACUUUUGCCUUCUGAAAACGGGAAGGUGAAUAAGGGCUGGGGAACACGGGUGCCAGCCACCGCGGUAAUACCCGGAGCCCAAGUGAUGGCCAGAAUUAUUGGGUCUAAAGCGUUCGUAGCCGGUCCAAAAAGUCCUUAGUGAAAUCUUUCAGUCAACUGAAAGGCUUGCUUUGGAUACUUUUGGACUUGAGACUGGGAGAGGGUGGGGAUACUUUCAGGGUAGGGGUAAAAUCCUGUAAUCCUGAGAGGAUCACCUGUGGCGAAGGCGCCCACCUGGAACGGGUCUGACGGUGAGGAACGAAAGCUAGGGGAGCGAUUGGGAUUAGAUACCCCAGUAGUCCUAGCUGUAAACAAUGCCCGCUUGGUGUUGCAGGCUUCUCGGGAGCUUGCAGUGCCGGAGCGUAGGUGUUAAGCGGGCCACCUGGGAAGUACGGUCGCAAGGCUGAAACUUAAGGGAAUUGGCGGGGGAGCACACAAGGGGUGGGCGUUGCGGUUUAAAUGGAUUCAACGCCGGGAAUCGUCGACCUGCAGGCAUGCAAGCUGCACGACCGAGGGGCCC